AAGCCGUGGUGUGGGCAUAGUCUCAUUAACUCCUUAAACCUAUCCCAAGCCUCAUACAAUGAUUCACCAUCCUUCUUAAAAAACAAGUGAUUUGGUUUCGUAGUU